GGGCUUGACAUCCCACGAACCUGCCUGAAAGGGCGCGGUGCCCGCAAGGGGGCGCGGAGACAGGUGUUGCAUGGCUGUCGUCAGCUCGUGUCGUGAGAUGUUGGGUUAAGUCCCGCAACGAGCGCAACCCUCACCCCUGGUUGCCACCGGAUAAAGCCGAGCACUCGAGGGGAACUGCCAGCGUCAAGCUGGAGGAAGGCGGGGAUGACGUCAAGUCAUCAUGCCCCUUACGCCCUGGGCUACACACGUGCUACAAUGGCCAGUACAAAGGGACGCGAGACCGCGAGGUGGAGCUAAUCCCAAAAAACCGGUCUAAGUUCAGAUUGCAGUCUGCAACUCGACUGCAUGAAGGAGGAAUCGCUAGUAAUCGCGCAUCAGCACGGCGCGGUGAAUACGUUCCCGGGCCUUGUACACACCGCCCGUCACACCACGAAAGCUGUCUGUACUCGAAGUCGCUGAG
rnacentral:rRNA from 1 species